GGAAAGUCUGCAGAGGAAAGCUGAAAAGCCUUUCAAGUCUCAAUCAGUAAGAAGUUUUCCAUUUUAAACGGUUUCUCUGCGAGUUUGUCGGUGACAAAAGGCUCCGUAACAUCUGAACUACCGGCUCCAAGACACGCCGCUGGGCUUCCUGCUGUGGGCUCCGGACCUUCCUCAGUGGUGCUGACGCUACUGAAGACAGAAGACUGCUCCGGCCUCCUGGAAAAUGUGACGCCAAUUCAGGAAUGCUGCUCGCUGCGAAUGCGAACCCCCGCACAAGCCCUGCAGGAAGUCGUAGUAAAAAAGAAAAAGUGAUGUGAUGGAAGCCGAUUGCUUUCUCGGGAGUUACAUGCUGUGGCCGAGCUCCGGCUCACAAACUGCAGAGGUGCAUGUAGACGACACACGCCGUGAUUACAGAAGCAAAAAGGAACC
ensembl:lncRNA